CUUGGUGACCGAAGCGGGGUGGAACUACCUUUUACCAUUCCGAACAGAGUCGUCAAACACCCCAGCGCCGACGAUAGUAUAUUGGCAACGGUAUGCGAAAAUAGGUCGUUGCCAAGA
rnacentral:rRNA from 1 species